rnacentral:tRNA from 1 species
GGGGUUAUCGCUCAGGGGCAGAGUGGGUGCUUGGUGUGCAUGAGGUCCUGGGUUCAAACCCUAGUGCCUCCA